UAAUACGUAGGUGGCAAGCGUUGUCCGGAUUUAUUGGGCGUAAAGCGCGCGCAGGCGGUCCUUUAAGUCUGAUGUGAAAUCUUGCGGCUCAACCGCAAGCGGUCAUUGGAAACUGGGGGACUUGAGUGCAGAAGAGGAAAGCGGAAUUCCACGUGUAGCGGUGAAAUGCGUAGAGAUGUGGAGGAACACCAGUGGCGCAGGCGGCUUUCUGGUCUGUAACUGACGCUGAGGCGCGAAAGCGUGGGGAGCAAACAGGAUUAGAUACCCUGGUAGUCCACGCCGUAAACGAUGAGUGCUAAGUGUUGGAGGGUUUCCACCAUUCAGUGCUGCAGCUAACGCAUUAAGCACUCCGCCUGGGGAGUACGGUCGCAAGACUGAA
rnacentral:rRNA from 1 species